UCCCUGGAGGACCAGUGGUUAGGCCUCAGCGCUCUCACCGCUGCAGCCCGGGUUCGAUUCCUGGCCAGGGAU
rnacentral:tRNA from 1 species